GUCGAAAUUGGAUAGCUGAAAAUAAAGCAGUUGACGAUCACAAAUGUUCGAGGCGACGUGUACAUAAGGUCAAAGGUAACAGCUGUGAUCAAACGGAAAGUAAUCGGCUCGUAAAACUUUAUGCGAACACAAACAUGGAGUUUCCGGAUCAAACGAUAACAAUUUCCCGUAAGCCGGAGAUGAAUGAGCUGUAAGGAUCUUAAAUAAAAUAUCCUUUGGUCGUAUCAAACUACCCAAUUGAGGCCGAGGAACUGCAAAAAUCGAUUCCUUCGAAGUGCCUUUAUCACAUUUAUACGUUCCUCAAAUAAAGGGGAGACCGAGGAGGAAAGUAACAGAGGAGGAAAGUAACAAAGCUUAUAACUUUUAAACAAAUUAUCGGAUAGACAUGGUUCAAACAUAUUUUUAGUCGGCACUGUUCCCCCUUCCUCCUCCAUAGUGUGUCCGAGCCUGACAGGAAAGGUUAGGUCUGAUUCCGGUGUGACGUGCAGAAAAAACGUCAAAAGUAAGUUUUCGUUCAAAUUUUCAAAGUCUCGUAUUUCUUUAAUUUUAUUGUUUUUCAAAAUGUGCCUUUCGUUAUUUUGUAGCCUUAUUAUCUGUCUUUAAGUUGUGCUUAAACAAACAAUUUAACAUUUGUGUAGUUUUAACUUUUUUGUUGACAUACAAGAAAAAAGCGACCGAGGAGGAAAGUAACACGCUACUUUUCUCCUGUUGUCGAUAUUGUCCAUGUUUUAACUAAUGAUUGAAGCAAAUCGUAUUUAAUUUUACGAUUAACAGAGAUUUAUUUAAGAAAAACCUGUGAUCUAGGUAAGCAUAAAAUAUCUUUAAGAAAAAAAAUGAGCUAAAUUCAUAAAAU